UACGGGGGGGGCAAGCGUUGUUCGGAUUCAUUGGGCGUAAAGGGUGCGUAGGCGGCGCGGUAAGUCGGGUGUGAAAUCUUGGAGCUUAACUCCGAAACUGCAUUCGAUACUGCCGUGCUUGAGGACUGGAGAGGAGACUGGAAUUUACGGUGUAGCGGUGAAAUGCGUAGAUAUCGUAAGGAAGACCAGUGGCGAAGGCGGGUCUCUGGACAGUUCCUGACGCUGAAGCACGAAGGCCGGGGGAGCAAACGGG
rnacentral:rRNA from 1 species